UACGGGGGGUGCGAGCGUUAAUCGGAAUUACUGGGCGUAAAGGGCACGCAGGCGGACUUUUAAAUGAGGUGUGAAAUCCCCGUGCUUAACCUGGGAAUUGCAUUUGAUACUGGGAGUCUAGAGUACUGUAGGGAGGGGUGGAAUUCCACGUGUAGCGGUGAAAUGCGUAGAGAUGUGGAGGAAUACCGAUGGCGAAGGCAGCCCCUUGGGAAUGUACUGACGCUCAUGUGCGAAAGCGUGGGGAGCAAACAGG
rnacentral:rRNA from 1 species